rnacentral:rRNA from 1 species
UACGAAGGGGGCUAGCGUUGCUCGGAAUCACUGGGCGUAAAGGGUGCGUAGGCGGGUCUUUAAGUCAGGGGUGAAUCCUGGAGCUCAACUCCAGAACUGCCUUUGAUACUGAGGAUCUUGAGUUCGGGAGAGGUGAGUGGAACUGCGAGUGUAGAGGUGAAAUUCGUAGAUAUUCGCAAGAACACCAGUGGCGAAGGCGGCUCACUGGCCCGAUACUGACGCUGAGGCACGAAAGCGUGGGAGCAAACAGG